UACAGAGGGGGUAAGCGUUGUUCGGAAUUACUGGGCGUAAAGGGCUCGUAGGCGGCCAACUAAGUCGGACGUGAAAUCCCUCAGCUUAACUGGGGAACUGCGUCCGAUACUGGAUGGCUUGGAUUUGGGAGAGGGAUGCGGAAUUCCAGGUGUAGCGGUGAAAUGCGUAGAUAUCUGGAGGAACACCGGUGGCGAAGGCGGCAUCCUGGACCAAUAUUGACGCUGAGGAGCGAAAGCCAGGGGAGCAAACGGG
rnacentral:rRNA from 1 species